AUUGAACGCUGGCGGCAGGCCUAACACAUGCAAGUCGAGCGGAUGAAGGGAGCUUGCUCCUGGAUUCAGCGGCGGACGGGUGAGUAAUGCCUAGGAAUCUGCCUGGUAGUGGGGGAUAACGUCCGGAAACGGGCGCUAAUACCGCAUACGUCCUGAGGGAGAAAGUGGGGGAUCUUCGGACCUCACGCUAUCAGAUGAGCCUAGGUCGGAUUAGCUAGUUGGUGGGGUAAAGGCCUACCAAGGCGACGAUCCGUAACUGGUCUGAGAGGAUGAUCAGUCAAACUGGAACUGAGACACGGUCCAGACUCCUACGGGAGGUAGCAGUGGGGAAUAUUGGACAAUGGGCGAAAGCCUGAUCCAGCCAUGCCGCGUGUGUGAAGAAGGUCUUCGGAUUGUAAAGCACUUUAAGUUGGGAGGAAGGGCAGUAAGUUAAUACCUUGCUGUUUUGACGUUACCAACAGAAUAAGCACCGGCUAACUUCGUG
rnacentral:rRNA from 1 species